rnacentral:pre_miRNA from 1 species
CAGACCAGUGUACAGUUGGGCUGUGGUUAUAUCCAGCACCAACUGAGACCUGAGAUAUAGCCAGAGCCUGACUGGUAAGAAACCCUACUGCUG